rnacentral:rRNA from 1 species
AUACGUAGGGGGCAAGCGUUGCCCGGAUUUACUGGGUGUAAAGGGCGCGCAGGCGGGAUAAAAAGUCAGUGGUGAAAUCCUACAGCUUAACUGUAGAACUGCCUUUGAUACUUUUAUUCUUGAGUUCGGGAGAGAGAGACGGAAUUCCAGGUGUAGUGGUGAAAUACGUAGAUAUCUGGAAGAACACCAGUUGCGAAGGCGGUCUCUUGGUCCGAUACUGACGCUGAGGCGCGAAAGCGUGGGGAGC